rnacentral:rRNA from 1 species
AAGCAUAUUACUAAGCGGAGGAAAAGAUACUAACUAGGAUUUCCUCAGUAAGGGCGACUGAAGAGGAAAAAGCUCAAAAUGUGAAUCGGUGCUUGCACUGAAUUGUGGUCUGAAGUCAAAUGUGUUUCUUACACGGUAAAGUCUCUUGGAAUUGAGUGGACUAUAGGGUGAGACCCCCGUUUACUGUAUCAUGAUAACAUUUGUCAAUGAGUCGAGUUGUUUGGGAUUGCAGCUCAAAGUGGGUGGUAAAUUCCAUCUAAAGCUAAAUAUUGUUGAGAAGCCGAUAGCGAACAAGUACCGUGAGGGAAAGAUGCAAAGAACUUUGAAAAGAGAGUUAAAGAGUACCUGAAAUUGUCAAAAUGGAAGCGAAGGAAAUCAGUGUUUGCUUUUUCAUAUUAUUUUCUUUGCUUGCAAAGAGGACGCUGUGGACUGCAUGGUUCCUGUUAGCAGUGGUGGGCAAAAAUACCUCUUCACAAUUUGUGUUGAGUGGGAUUGUUUGCUGUUGCUAAAUAGGAACAAAAUGGUUUUCUUUUUCCCGUCUUGAA